UGAACCAGCGGAGGGAUC
rnacentral:rRNA from 1 species